rnacentral:rRNA from 1 species
CCUACGGGUGGCAGCAGUGGGGAAUAUUGCACAAUGGGCGCAAGCCUGAUGCAGCCAUGCCGCGUGUGUGAAGAAGGCCUUCGGGUUGUAAAGCACUUUCAGCGGGGAGGAAGGCGGUGAGGUUAAUAACCUCAUCGAUUGACGUUACCCGCAGAAGAAGCACCGGCUAACUCCGUGUCAGCAGCCGCGGUAAUACGGAGGGUGCAAGCGUUAAUCGGAAUUACUGGGCGUAAAGCGCACGCAGGCGGUCUGUCAAGUCGGAUGUGAAAUCCCCGGGCUCAACCUGGGAACUGCAUUCGAAGCUGGCAGGCUAGAGUCUUGUAGAGGGGGGUAGAAUUCCAGGUGUAGCGGUGAAAUGCGUAGAGAUCUGGAGGAAUACCGGUGGCGAAGGCGGCCCCCUGGACAAAGACUGACGCUCAGGUGCGAAAGCGUGGGGAGCAAACAGGAUUAGAUACCCUAGUAGUC